GUCCUACGGGACGCAGCAGUGGGGAAUAUUGCACAAUGGGGGGAACCCUGAUGCAGCGACGCCGCGUGGGUGAAGGAGCACCUCGGUGCGUAAAGCCCUAUCGGCAGGGAAGAAAAGCGAACAGGUUCGCCUGGACGGUACCUGACUAAGAAGCCCCGGCUAACUACGUGCCAGCAGCCGCGGUAAUACGUAGGGGGCAAGCGUUAUCCGGAUUUACUGGGUGUAAAGGGAGCGUAGACGGCCAGACAAGUCUGAAGGGAAAAUCCAGCGCUUAACGGUGGGAGUGCUUUGGAAACUGCCCGGCU
rnacentral:rRNA from 1 species